rnacentral:sRNA from 1 species
GGCUGGUCCAGUGGUAGUCAUCAGAACUUAUUCACAUUAGUGUCAUUCAAGUUGGUAUUCAAUGCCCCACUAGUAAAUUUCACUGGCUUUAA